CGAUCCCCCCCCCCCUUUGGUGGUAGUAUGGGUUGUGGAGGAAGAGCUUAACGACGGAAUUGCGGGCCCCAUGGCAUACGAGGGGGAAGGAGAAGGAGACGGCGAGGGAGAUUGCGCCGAAUGCUAAACCGGUCCACA
rnacentral:rRNA from 11 species